rnacentral:rRNA from 1 species
CGCUGGCGGCACGCCUAACACAUGCAAGUCGAGCGAGAAACUAAACUUCGGUUUAGCGGAAAGCGGCGGACGGGUGAGUAACGCGUGGGAAUUUACCAAAGAGUGGGGAACAACUGCUGGAAACGGCAGCUAAUACCGCAUACGCCCUAUGGGGGAAAGGCUUCGGCCGCUCUUUGAGAAGCCCGCGUACGAUUAGUUUGUUGGUGGGGUAAUGGCCUACCAAGACUACGAUCGUUAGCUGGUCUGAGAGGACGAUCAGCCACACUGGGACUGAGACACGGCCCAGACUCCUACGGGAGGCAGCAGUGGGGAAUAUUGGACAAUGGGCGAAAGCCUGAUCCAGCGAUGCCGCGUGAGUGAAGAAGGCCCUAGGGUUGUAAAGCUCUUUCGGUGGGGAAGAUAAUGACGGUACCCACAAAAGAAGCCCCGGCUAACUCCGUGCCAGCAGCCGCGGUAAUACGGAGGGGGCUAGCGUUACUCGGAAUUACUGGGCGUAAAGCGAGCGUAGGCGGUUAAUCAAGUUGGGGGUGAAAGCCCGGGGCUCAACCCCGGAAAUGCCCUCAAAACUAGUUAGCUAGAGGACGGGAGAGGGGAGUGGAACUCCCAGUGUAGAGGUGAAAUUCGUAGAUAUUGGGAAGAACACCAGUGGCGAAGGCGACUCUCUGGACCGUUUCUGACGCUAAGGCUCGAAAGCGUGGGUAGCAAACAGGAUUAGAUACCCUGGUAGUCCACGCCGUAAACGAUGAGUGCUAGACGUUGGGGGGAACGCCCUUCAGUGUCGUCGCUAACGCAUUAAGCACUCCGCCU